AUGAAAACUUUUAGAGGUAUGAAGAAACUGGCUAAGGUGACACCUGAUGAUCCCAAAGAACCAAAAGGUUUUUUAUCUUCCAUCACGGGUUCGAAUGAGAGUGAAGUGCACACAGAUGAGGAUGAGUCCUGUGAGCCUGAAGGAGGAGCAGCCCCAGGCCAGUGGUUCUUGCCUUGGGAACACCCCCACCAGGGCUAAGGGCUGGCAUUUCCCAUCUUAGCUUGGUGGGCCACAACCAAAGGUCUCAGUACUAGUCUGGUGACAACAGCAUGAGCUCUAGGAGAAAGCCACCCUGAGAGUAGGGCCGGAGCUUCCUCUGACUUCAGCCCUCUAAGGAUACCUGCUGCCUGGGACCCAUCCAUUUCCUGCCCCAAGGGCCACUGUUGGAGAAGUGCUGCUAGGGCUGAAUUGAGAGGCCUCAGCCAGCCUGGGUAAGGCCGCUUUCCACUGGGUCUUCACCACCACACCUCAGAAAUGUGGGUCUCUGACACUCUCAGCAGAGUGCACCUCUCAGAACCCAGGCUUCAGGGCCUAGCCAUCCCCAA
rnacentral:lncRNA from 1 species